UUGCCCUAGUAACGGCGAGUGAAGCGGCAUCAGCUCAAAUUUGAAAUCUGGCUCUUUCAGAGUCCGAGUUGUAAUUUGCAGAGGGCGCUUUGGCGUUGGCAGCGGUCCAAGUUCCUUGGAACAGGACGUCACAGAGGGUGAGAAUCCCGUACGUGGUCGCUGGCCUUCACCGUGUAAAGCCCCUUCGACGAGUCGAGUUGUUUGGGAAUGCAGCUCUAAAUGGGAGGUAAAUUUCUUCUAAAGCUAAAUACUGGCCAGAGACCGAUAGCGCACAAGUAGAGUGAUCGAAAGAUGAAAAGCACUUUGGAAAGAGAGUCAAAUAGCACGUGAAAUUGUUGAAAGGGAAGCGCUUGCAGCCAGACUUGCCUGUAGUUGCUCAUCCGGGCUUUUGCCCGGUGCAUUCUUCUGUAGGCAGGCCAGCAUCAGUUUGGGCGGUUGGAUAAAGGCCUCUGUCAUGUACCUCCUUUCGGGGAGGCCUUAUAGGGGAGGCGACAUGCAACCAGCCUGGACUGAGGUCCGCGCAUCUGCUAGGAUGCUGGCGUAAUGGCUGUAAGCGGCCCGUCUUGAAACACGGACCAAGGAGUCUAACAUCUAUGCGAGUGUUUGGGUGUCAAGCCCGAGCGCGCAAUGAAAGUGAACGGAGGUGGGAUCCCUUAAGGGUGCACCAUCGACCGAUCCUGAUGUCUUCGGAUGGAUUUGAGUAAGAGCAUGGCUGUUGGGACCCGAAAGAUGGUGAACUAUGCUUGAAUAGGGUGAAGCCAGAGGAAACUCUGGUGGAGGCUCGCAGCGGUUCUGACGUGCAAAUCGAUCG
rnacentral:rRNA from 1 species